UUAAGAAUUUUGCGCAAUGGGCGAAAGCCUGACGCAGCGACGCCGCGUGGACGAUGAAGGUCUUCGGAUUGUAAAGUCCAGUAAGCAGGGACGAAUAAGCAAGGGGUAAUAUUCCUUGUGAUGACGGUACCUGUCUAAAGCCUCGGCUAACUACGUGCC
rnacentral:rRNA from 1 species